CCACCAGUCCCGCAGAUGGCCGCCGCAGACACUCGAGAGGGGGGCUCGGAGCCGGACUCCCAAUCGGAAGAGGCGCCCCCCGGCGAGAGGGUGGACGAAGAACAGGGGGGCGCCACGCCGAGUGCCGAAGACGCGGAGGCGGCGGCGGCGAAGAAACCGCGGCGCUUCUCCUUCCUCCACCUGCACAUCGGCGAGCGGCCCUUCGGAAUCGGGGGCGCCCACGCGGCCGCGUCGGCGCCCACCCCCGUGGGCUCCCGCCACCGGCACCGCCGCUGGAGCGAGGCCGUCUUCUCCGUCGUCUCCUCGCACCUGCCCACCUUCACCUUCACCGGGGCCGACGACGACUCCGUCUCCACCUCGCACUCCCUCGGCAACCACCGGAGGUUCAGUUUCGCCAACCUGCGCAAGUUCUCAGGAACGGUCAGUCUUUCCAGCAAUUUGUAUGGAAGUGAUUCGAUGGUGUCCCUCUGCUAUCGUUCUCUCACAAAUUACAUCGCGGAAGACAGACUCGAUGACUUCAAGCGCUUCAUUGAAAGCAAAAGUGUCAACGUUAAUGAUCGAGAUGAGAAUGAAGCAACAGCUUUACACUACGCUGCAUCUACAGGGAAGUCAGCUUUUGUGAGAGAGUUGAUCAGUCAUGGAGCUGAUGUCAAUGCAGCUGACAAUGAUAACUGGACUCCCCUUCACUGUGCGGCAAAAGAGGGUUACAAAGAUAUUGUUACUGAGCUCCUGGAACAUGGUGCGAAGGUUGAUGAUCGGGACAUGGGAGGAUGGACCCCUCUCAUGUGGGCAUCCUACAAAGGUCAUUAUGACACGGUUGUUAUUCUGUUGGAAAGAAACGCUGACGUGAAUGCCCACGGUAACUACCACAUCUCAUCACUCCUCUGGGCUGCUGGGCGAGGUCACACUGAUAUAGCAAAGCUCCUUUUAAAAAGAGGCGCAAAAGUCAAUGUCGGUGACAAAUAUGGUACAACAGCUCUUGUUUGGGCCAGUAGAAAAGGCAAUGUUGAUAUUGUAUCAGAACUAAUGAAAUAUGGCGCAAAUGUGGAUACUGCUGGAAUGUACUCAUGGACUCCUUUACUCGUAGCAACAAUGAACAAUCACGUCGAAGUAGUCGCUCAGUUACUUCAAGGAAAACCGAACAUUAAUGCCCUUGACAAGGAUGGUUGUACUGCAUUAACAAUAGCAUGUAAAGAAGGUUUCCAUGCAAUAGCUUCUGCUUUAAUAAAUGCUGGUGCUUACAUUAAUAUUCAGGACAGGGGUGGCGAUACAAACUUAAUUCAUGCUGUGAAGGGCAAUCACCGCAGUAUCGUUGAAUCUUUGUUGAAGAAGUACGCAGAUGUUGAUACUCCUGGCAAAGAUAGGAAAACAGCUGUCUACACAGCAGUCGAGAAAGGAAACAUAGGAAUUUUGAAAAUGCUAUUGGGUGCUAAUCCGGACUUAGAAAUUGCCACCAAGGAUGGUGAUACUCCAUUAUUAAGGGCUGUAAGAAUUAGAAAUGCUGAGUGCGUUCAACUGCUGUUGGAAAAAAAAGCCAAAGUAACAGCUUGUGAUAAAAGAGGAGAUACUGCAUUGCAUAUAGCCAUGAGAGCAAGAUCCAAAACUAUUGUUGAAAUAUUGCUAAGGAAUCCUAGAAAUAGUCAAUUACUAUAUCGGCCCAACAAAGCGGGAGAAACACCUUAUAAUAUAGAUAUGAAUCAUCAAAGGACAAUUCUAGGGCAAAUAUUUGGUUCUCGUCGUUUAAAUACAAAUGAGGACAAUGAAAAUUUAUUAGGUUAUGAUUUGUAUUCAAGUGCUCUUGCCGAUAUGUUAAGUGAACCUAGUUUAUCAAUGCCUAUCACCGUCGGUCUUUAUGCGAAAUGGGGUAGUGGCAAAUCUUUCUUACUGAGUAAACUUAGAGAGGAAAUGUUAAAUUUUGCCAGACAGUGGGUAGAACCUGUCUCUGAGUUUUCAUGGCUGUGUCUAGUUCUCAUCACUCAUGCUGCCAUUGCAUCUGGCGUUUGUAUAGGAGUUAUGUUUCAAUCCUGGGUGUAUGGUCUCGCUACGGUUGUUACAAUAGUGUUUGUCACUUAUGUCUUCCUUGUUUUUGUUGGAAGUGGUGCUAUUAGGUUAGAUUGGCUGUGGCCUUAUAAUGUUAAUGUUUUUUUAACUAAGAAAAUGAAUUCCUUGUUGCUCAUUUUACAAGUCAUAUUCUGUCACCCUCCUGGAUCACAAAAUGUAGAUGAUAGCAUCACUGCUCAACCUGUAAAAUUUUAUUUUACUGAUCAAACUCGAAUCAGUAGCACUGCUCAAGGUGAAAAUACUCUAGUUCAAAUGAUUGGAUCUUUAUACGAUUCGAUCGAAAAGGAUUAUGGAUCAAUUUCCACUAGGUUGUACAGAGCAUUUCGACCAAAACCUUUUAAAUCCACAUCAUCUUGGAAAUGGAGGAGACUUUGCUGCGCUCCUAAUAUUAUAGUUUUUGAAGCUUGUAUCUUCUGUUUUUUGCUUGGUGGCUCGGUGUUUACAGUCUAUUUGAUGGAAAAAGAAUUAACCGAGCAAGGCAGAAGUAUUGAUAAAUUUGUUUCCCAAGUGAUAAUGGGUUUGUGCAUCACAUUUCUGGCUCUUGGAAUUGUCUCAAAUUUGUACACGUGGAGUCGUGUCAUGCAAUCAUUAGUAUUUUCUCUCAGAAGGCAACUACAGAGGUCUAUAUCCAAACUUGAGUCUCUAAAAUCCGAAGGCUUCCUGCAAGUUUUAAGGUCUGAAGUUUAUCUGAUGACUGAUCUUGUUAAAUGUUUGGAUAGUUUCACUCAGCAGCAAACCCGAUUGGUGAUCGUCGUUGAUGGUCUAGAUAGCUGCGAGCAAGACAAAGUAUUGAUGAUUUUAGAUGCUGUCCAUGUCCUUUUCUCUGACCCAAAUCAUCCUUUCAUUAUUAUACUUGCGAUAGACCCUCAUAUUAUCUCUAAGGCUGUUGAAAGCAGUAGUAAACGACUGUUUAAUGAGUCAAACAUUGGGGGCCAUGAGUAUUUGCGGAACAUGGUUCAUUUGCCAUUUUAUCUACAAAAUUCUGGUUUGAGGAAAGUAAAAAGUGCCCAAAAAGCAGCAAUGUAUCACAGGAAAAGUGUAACAACGGGUCCAUAUGAAGAACAAGGAAACCUAGUACGCUCUAUUUCCACAAGGCGGUUAUCAACUGAAUCAGGAAUGAGCAGUUGUGAAAAAUUGAAACUUCCCAGUUCAUCAGUUUCAAGGGGCAAAAAUUCCCGUGGUGGUAAGCUGAAAUUGAGUGAAAGUAUUGCAAGCAGUAUCGGUAGUAACAUCAAUCGAGUUGGAGGUGCACAAGAUCUAACAAGGAUGUUGCUGACAGAUGAUUAUUUCUCCGACGUCAAUCCCAGAAGCAUGAGAAGAUUGAUGAAUGUUGUUUAUGUGACAGGUCGGCUCAUGAAAGCAUUUCACUUGGAUUUCAAUUGGUAUCAUUUAGCCAGUUGGAUUAACAUCACAGAGCAAUGGCCUUGCCGAACCUCAUGGUUAAUACUGUAUCAUGAAUUCUGUGAAGACCUAGACGAUAACAUGAGUCUCAAAAGUUUAUAUGACAAAGUGAGACCUCAAAUACCCGUUUGCAAGGAAAUGGAAUCACUCGUUGAACUGGACCGGGAUGAGAAAAAAUUUGAUGUCUUCCUUACGUUUCAUCGAAAUUCUCUCUUAGUUGGUGAUCUUCGAAUUUUUCUUCCAUUCACAAUUAAUUUAGAUCCUUUCAUAAAAAAAGUGAUCAAAGGAAUAAAAGAAGAUCAACAAUAUUUUGCAGAAGCAAACUUAUUAGCAUCUGGUUCUGGCUCCAGACCAACUGUUCCUCCUGGUGUCAUAAGUCCAUGGGUACCACCCGAAGGACAAGCCUCUGCUGACGUAACAAGUUGGAGCCCUCAAAGGAAAACCAAUCUCUUUCGUAGACAGAAGUCUCUUUCAUUUACCUCUACAUCAGCACCAACUGCAGCUCCACCUGUUGUGUACCCUCCUUCCAUUGCUCAUGACCAGUGGCUAAAUAACUCAAGAUUCACAAUAAUGAAGCCCGUGGAUUAUAACAUGCCUGUUUCUGUCCUUCCUUCUGAGUUAUCAACUGUGAAGCUAUCAACAUUGAAUGUGGAUGCGGUUUGCAAUCUAUUAAAAAACAUGGAAGAGAUUCAACCAUCUCAGUUACCCCAGUACCUUCAAGUUAUACAACAAAACAACAUUAAUGGUCGAGUUUUGCUUCACUGUGACCUGGAUGAGCUGAAAAAGAUUCUAUCAAUGAAUUUCGGUGACUGGGAAUUAUUUAAAAUCACUAUCGUUUCAUUACGGGCGCAAGAAAUGACAUUAGUUUCCCAACAAGAUGAGCUUCCCGGCAGAAAUGUUAGGUUUAACAAUAAUCCCUCAAAUCGAUCUCAACAAACUCAACCGGAGCGAAGAGCCAGUAAUCCUAAUUGUAAACCAAACAAUGGCUCCAGUGGAAGUAGUAAUCCAACAAGUCAAUCUGAUAGGGCAAACAAACAAUCAGUAAUGGAAAAGCAGGUAACACUUGAGGAGCAGAUGAUUUGUGGAGCACUGCAGACAUUGAAUGAAGAAGCGUGUGAGGAUGUCUUGGAAGAGGCAGAUGAGCAAGUUAUAGCAUCACUACAAGUGCCAUCUUAUGAUCAGUCAGGUACCAGCUCAGAUUCCGAGAAUAGCUAUUCGAACAACCAAUCUUUGUCCGUCAAUGAAACAGACUGCUUGAUCGAACUGGAAGCUCCAACAAAUCCUUGUGUCACCUCUGCCAGUAGUGCAUGUCCAUCAGUCUCAUCUAGCAAGCAUGCCAGUUCAAACAAGACCUUGCCUCCUCUUGCUGAUUUGAACUCUGUUGAAGCUGCUUUUCCGCAUGAUGUUGCUUUAUAAUUUCUUAUACUAUUAUUAUACCACCUCUUUGAAUCGGUCGUUUGUCUUGUUUUGAUGUGUGAUUUUUAUUUCUUGCCACAGUACACUGCAUGAAAUUGCUUCAAGUUUAGUGCCUCUUUUUUAUGUAUUUUAGUAUUAAGUUUAGGUUAGUCAAGCAUGGCUCACAGUCAAUCUGUAGAAUACGCAAGUACCUCUUUGAAAUCAAAAUAGUGAAAAAUUGAAGACACCAAUGGUGUGGCGUUUAGCGCAAUGAAUCGAUUAAUGUGCCGUUUAAACCUAUGGGAUAGAAUCAAUUAUCAGAGUGUCAGCAACAAACAUCUUAAUAAUUGAUUCUUUACAUUAGAUUCAAAUGAGAAAUUAUCGAUGAUGGUCAAUGAUUCCAUUUACACUUCACCAUGUGAUAAUGAAAAAAAAAAAAAACAAGUGAUGCUCAGUCCAUUUUAUCCAAGUAAAUUUUAUCUCUGUCUUUUCAAUGUGAAUAACCCUGCUAAAUUUGUUGCAGACCGCAUCAUUAUUCUUAUAGAUAUCAAGGUGGUGCAAAACCAGAUUUUGCUUUCAAAAAGUAUGGAUGGAAAUCAUUUGAAAGUUUAAAAAAUGUUUUUAUAAACUAAGGCUGAUAUUUAAGUUUCUUUUGAGAAUGAUUAUAAACUCACUGUACAAAAAUCCUGAGAUUGGAUCUAAGCUGCGAACAGAAAGUUCUAAUACCUGAAAAUACUUCUAACAAAACUUAUCAAGUGGGAAACUAAAAUCUUGAUUCUCAAUCAAAAUUUGUUUUGAGGAAAAAGCUGUGCUUUCAGCCUAAUGAGUUAACUUCAUUAUCUAUUUUUCUACAUUUUCUGCUUUGCUCUUUCAUGGGUGGCAAAAUUGGUAAAAAGUUACCUCAUUCUGUGAGCUACAAUCUUUCUGGGCUACAAUGAAGCAGAGACAGCCACUUGUAUAGUAAAUUUCUCAAAGCACUUCUAAGCAUUCCUCAAGCAAAGCCCAUGCAAGUUUGUUGUUUCAGUCAUCUUAUACAGUGCCAAAAGUUCUUAUUUAAGCCGUGUUAAUUUUAGUAAAAUAGUACCUUCAAAUUUUUACUGCUGUUUUUUUCGAAAUACGGAUUCCCCAGUUUUUUGGUGCUCUAUAACAUACAUUUUCACUGAUUUUAAAAUUUAUUUGGGUAAAUCUGUGGCAUAAUAUAUCUAAUUUCGUGUGUCGUUUUAUGUCAUCAAUUAGGUAAUUUUCAAUCUUUAGGAUGUACUUUAGGAUUCCUUUCAUAGUUAGGGUGAAAUAUGUAUCUGCUGUCUUGCAAAGUCUUAUUUUAGAGCAUGCAAUGUGGUUGAACAUCCAAUUAUUUAGCGUAUUUUGUAUGUUUCUCUAUGGUAGAAAUUCCCUCCUUUCUAAUGAGACUGAUUUAAUUUUAACGUAAAGUUGAAAAUGAUUUUUCGAUGCAAGUCAUGCAGUUUUUGUUUUCAGAUGCAUCAUGUGCCAUUAUAGAAGAUAGGUAUUCUUAGAAUUUGUGUUUUUGGCUUGUUAUGUUUUGUGAAACAUCACUUACUUCUUUCUAUAAAGGAUCUGAUCCAAAAAAAGGUCCAGUAAUAUAAUUUAACUGCAAAAAAAUAAAUUUAAUUCUUCAGAAAUAAAAAAAGAAACAAAGAAAUUACAUUGGCUUGACUGUAACAUCGUAUUUCUUGAUCCCACUUUUUUUUCUUCUUCCCCCUGAGCAAUUCUUUUUUAAGAAUCUUUAUUGUGAUAUUCUUUCAAGAAUUUUAAGAAGCUGUGUUUUUAUAAAUAUAUAUCUUUUUUGUUGA